AUUGAACGCUGGCGGCAUGCCUUACACAUGCAAGUCGAACGGCAGCGGACCUUCGGGUGCCGGCGAGUGGCGAACGGGUGAGUAAUAUAUCGGAACGUACCUUUCAGUGGGGGAUAACGUAGCGAAAGUUACGCUAAUACCGCAUAUUCUGUGAGCAGGAAAGCAGGGGAUCGCAAGACCUUGCGCUGAUUGAGCGGCCGAUAUCAGAUUAGCUAGUUGGUGAGGUAAAGGCUCACCAAGGCGACGAUCUGUAGCGGGUCUGAGAGGAUGAUCCGCCACACUGGAACUGAGACACGGUCCAGACUCCUACGGGAGGCAGCAGUGGGGAAUUUUGGACAAUGGGCGCAAGCCUGAUCCAGCAAUGCCGCGUGAGUGAUGAAGGCCUUAGGGUUGUAAAGCUCUUUUACCAGGGAUGAUAAUGACAGUACCUGGAGAAUAAGCUCCGGCUAACUCCGUGCCAGCAGCCGCGGUAAAGUCG
rnacentral:rRNA from 1 species